GUCUCGUUCAGCUGAAGGCAUGUACCUACAAAGGUCACAAGACAGUUGUCACUGGAGAGCAGAUAUGGGAGAUCCAGAAGGAUCAACUUCUAUACAAUCCAUUCUUAAAAAUGUGCCUUUCAGCAAAUGGAGAGCAUCCAAGUUUAGUGUCAUGCAACCCAUCAGAUCCACUCCAAAAAUGGAUACUUAGCCAAAAUGAUUAAGUGUUCCUUAAAAUUAAGUUGAAAAAGGAAAUAUUCUUUCUCAUAAAACUGUGACUAGGCAUACACUGUAGUUUUUGAAAAUUAUGCAAAAGCAGCUAAAUGUAACUUAUUCCAAGUGCAUUUUUCUUAUUUAUAUCUUUAUGUAGCACUACUACAGAAAUUCUGCAAGUUUCUGUUUCAAAGCACAAUAACUAGUAAUACCAAAGACUAUUUCAAAAUGUCCAGAUGUAGGGGAAGAGAUGUUUACAGUAUGAUGAAAAUAAUUUUCCAAGUAAAGUGAUGUUUGUGUGUUUUGUACACUUAGGGAUAUAUAUAUAUAGCUACAUUCACACACUCACAAUUUAAAAUAUUUCCCCUAGUUUUUUGGGGGGAUAGGAAGAAAGAUUUGUUACUGUAUUUUUUUAACUACAUAAAAAUAGAUCAAUAAAUGUCAGCAUUGGCCUCUGUGUACAAACCAAGAGCUUUUACAGAUCCAGAAUUUAUUAGUUUAAAAUGCAGGUGAACUUUUUUUUGCGUUUGGUUUACUUGUCUGUCAAAUGUUUCCUUAAACAUGAAACUGAAUAAGGAGAAGAGUAUUUUUAACACUUAAAUUUCUUGGCAAAUUUUAAAACAUUUUUUAGUCUGUAAUACACUCCACUUGAAGCACUUAAGUCUUCCUUAAAUGACUUUUCUUAAGUAAUGAUACUGUGUGUUUUCCCAAAGCACUUUUAAAAAAAUUUUUAUAAAUUACUAUCUGUUGAAAAGGUGUCCUUUUCCUUUCUUCUAGUAUUUUUUUCUUACCAAAAUUCACUAAUCUUGAAUGUUUGUGAUAUUAAAUUUCAAAUGCAGAAUACUUGACUCAUUUAAAGCUAAAUUUUGUUACUGAUUCAAUUAUAAUUGUAAUGGAUUUUUGACUUUGUAAUGGAUUCUUUUCAUCAAAAAGCCUUAUUUUUUUAUCUAUGUGGAAAACACAAUAAAAAAUCCUCAACACUAUUG
rnacentral:lncRNA from 1 species